rnacentral:lncRNA from 1 species
UUAUGUGUGCCCCAGGAUGGCAGGACUAGAUCCCAGGCUCACAACUGUGGAGGUACAAAAGAUUUUUUCAGUGCUGCUUGAGGACCUGAGACCACAAGAAAUGUUUAUUGGAAGCCCCAAAGAGAUUUAAUUACAGUAGUGAGGAAUUCAACAGGUCCUGGCCUGUUUAUUUCUAGUUGCAAAGGCAAUGAACAUUAUUUUUGUCAUGGCUUUAGUUGUGCCUCAAUUGUACUGUCUGGGUCCUUGACAGGAGUAGGAUCUUGUGUAAGGUUUUUUGGUUUGGUUUGGUUUGGUUUGGUUUGGUUUGGUUUGGUUUGGUUUUUUUUGUAACCCUAUUGUAGUGAAUGUCACUGAGUCUGGCAAAAAGGUUAGAGAAGACUGGUUUAAAGGAAGGACUUGGGGAUUUAGAAUAUAAAAAACUGGUUAUGAUGAAGGAUUACUCUUUAAGCUUAAAAUUGCACCUAUGCCUUUUUCAGUAGGACCUAAAAAGAUCAUAAAUAAGGCCAAAAAGAGGAACAACAGAGAUAAAGAGAAGAAUAAUGCUAAUAGAAAUAGGAGUAAUACUGCUUUCUUACUUUCUUCUCCAGGGUCUGGUACCCCUCAUAGUCCUACAGUUGCCACCACUACCUUUUCUACAUUUGCUACUCAGCUAACAGAAUUAAUGGUAGGCAGGUUUCAUAUGCUUAAUGAUACUUAUCCUAAUAUCACUAACUCUUGUUGGCUUUGCUAUGAUAUAGCUCCUCCUUACUAUGAAAGUAUUGCUUAUUAUCCAGCAAUGUUUCUUAUUCUAAUAGCUCUUGUGGUUUUCGAUGGAAACAGAAAUCUAGCAUAGGUCUUCCUCUACAUGAAGUUUCUGGACUAUGUACCUGCAUAGUGAAAAAUUCAUAAAGAUAAAAGACAGAGUUUAUGUAAUCAAAUGCUUACUGUUUCCACCUCUUCAUCUUAUUUUAUUUCUCCAAAAGAGGGAUAGUGAGUUUGUUCCAUAGGUCUUACCCCCUGCAUUCACACACAAGUAUUUGAUAGCUCCAAAGAUUUUUGUGUGUUGGUUCAACUUAUUCCUAGACUCAUUUAUCAUCCUUAUGAGGUGCUCUUGGAUCAUUGGGAUGGAGACUUCUCUCGAUCCAAGAGAGAACUUGCUAUUGCAUUAACUAUUUCAGUACUGAUGGGGCUCAGUAUGGGAGGAGCAGCUACGGGCACUUCUGCCUU